AUUUUAUCUGUUGCCUCAUAUAACACAAAACCUGGAUUAAUGAUUCAAAACUAAGCUGUUUAUUAUAUCUGGUAAAAUCAAAUUGAAUAACUUAGACUGAUGAGUCAAAAGGCCAUGCUAAUGAGACUACAUGUACUUCAGUCUUAAAUGCAACAUUAGACAAAUGCUAAAUACUUGCCAACUUAUAGAUAAAUGCACAGAAGUUCUCUAAGUUUUGAUUUCCAGGGACUCAAGGCAAGAAAAAGGGGACAUAAACAAUCUUGAACUUAGGUGGAACCACCAAUUUGGAUAAAUUAAGAGGUGAUAUAAAAUCAAUCAAGAAUUAUUCAGUGAUUGAAUCUGUGCUAACGAAGCUGCUUUGUUCACGGAGGUGUCAUCUGGAAGAUGGAAUCUUAAUUGAAGAGACAGGUCACUGGCUUGAAUCCUGGAGACAAGAUAUUCAUGAGGGACCAGUAUGGGGAAUUUACAUCUCGGUGGAGAGUUUUCCUCUCCAUUUGCCAGCAUGCCAGGUCCUGUAUAACAGUGAAACUAUGUGCAUCAGCUGGUCUGAAUUACCCCACAAGAAGCUGAUUCACCAGAGAAUGCGGCUUUCAUAUCCUGAUGAUUUCAUACCUCUCUCCCCACUCAAUCAACAAACCCAAAUUUUCAGUCCCUCAUCCUCCAGGAUCCCCUUAAAAACCCCAGUCCAGAAUUCCUCAGGGAGAUGGAUUUGAAGGUCUCCUCCCGCCUCUUUCCUCAGAACCUGGCAAUCAUUAAACUCUUUCUCUGAUGCAAACCUUGCUGUCUCAGUGUAAUUG
rnacentral:lncRNA from 10 species